rnacentral:rRNA from 1 species
GAUGAACGCUGGCGGCGUGCCUAAUACAUGCAAGUCGAGCGAACGGACGAGAGGCUUGCUUCUCUGAUGUUAGCGGCGGACGGGUGAGUAACACGUGGAUAACCUACCUAUAAGACUGGGAUAACUUCGGGAAACCGGAGCUAAUACCGGAUAAUAUUUUGAACCGCAUGGUUCAAAAGUAAAAGACGGUCUUGCUGUCACUUAUAGAUGGAUCCGCGCUGCAUUAGCUAGUUGGUAAGGUAACGGCUUACCAAGGCAACGAUGCAUAGCCGACCUGAGAGGGUGAUCGGCCACACUGGAACUGAGACACGGUCCAGACUACUACGGGAGGCAGCAGUAGGGAAUCUUCCGCAAUGGGCGAAAGCCUGACGGAGCAACGCCGCGUGAGUGAUGAAGGUCUUCGGAUCGUAAAACUCUGUUAUUAGGGAAGAACAUAUGUGUAAGUAACUGUGCACAUCUUGACGGUACCUAAUCAGAAAGCCACGGCUAACUACGUG